GAUGAACGCUGGCGGCGUGCUUAACACAUGCAAGUCGAACGGAAAGGCCCAAGCUUGCUUGGGUACUCGAGUGGCGAACGGGUGAGUAACACGUGGGUGAUCUGCCCUGCACUUCGGGAUAAGCCUGGGAAACUGGGUCUAAUACCGGAUAGGACGAUGGUUUGGAUGCCAUUGUGGAAAGUUUUUUCGGUGUGGGAUGAGCUCGCGGCCUAUCAGCUUGUUGGUGGGGUAAUGGCCUACCAAGGCGUCGACGGGUAGCCGGCCUGAGAGGGUGUACGGCCACAUUGGGACUGAGAUACGGCCCAGACUCCUACGGGCGGACGCAGUGGGGAAUAUUGCACAAUGGGCGCAAGCCUGAUGCAGCGACGCCGCGUGGGGGAUGACGGCCUUCGGGUUGUAAACUCCUUUCGCUAGGGACGAAGCGUUUUUGUGACGGUACCUGGAGAAGAAGCACCGGCUAACUACGUG
rnacentral:rRNA from 1 species